rnacentral:piRNA from 1 species
UAAGGAUAGGUUUUCUACAUUGCUCAUGACA